AAUGAACGCUGGCGGCAGGCCUAACACACGCAAGUCGAACGAGGUAGCAAUACCUAGUGGCGGACGGGUGAGUAACGCGUGGGAACGUGCCCCUUGGUACGGAAUAGCCCUGGGAAACUGGGAGUAAUACCGUAUGUGGUCGAGAGACGAAAGAUUUAUCGCCAAGGGAUCGGCCCGCGUUGGAUUAGGUAGUUGGUGGGGUAAUGGCCUACCAAGCCGACGAUCCAUAGCUGGUUUGAGAGGAUGAUCAGCCACACUGGGACUGAGACACGGCCCAGACUCCUACGGGAGGCAGCAGUGGGGAAUCUUAGACAAUGGGGGAAACCCUGAUCUAGCCAUGCCGCGUGAUCGAUGAAGGCCUUAGGGUUGUAAAGAUCUUUCAGUGGGGAAGAUAAUGACGGUACCCACAGAAGAAGCCCCGGCUAACUCCGUGCCAGCAGCCGCCGCAG
rnacentral:rRNA from 1 species